rnacentral:rRNA from 1 species
AGCAGUCGCCGCGGUAAUACAGAGGGUGCGAGCGUUAAUCGGAUUUACUGGGCGUAAAGCGUGCGUAGGCGGCUUUUUAAGUCCGUUGUGAAAGCCCUGGGCUCAACCUGGGAAUUGCAGUGGAUACUGGGUCACUAGAGUGUGGUAGAGGAUAGUGGAAUUUCCGGUGUAGCAGUGAAAUGCGUAGAGAUCGGAAGGAACAUCUGUGGCGAAGGCGACUAUCUGGGCCAACACUGACACUGAGGCACGAAAGCGUGGGGAGCAAACAGGAUUAGAUACCCCCGUAGUCCCUGUCUCUUAUAC